UUGGACCUAAUACAAACUAAUUGCGAAACUGGCCAAUUCUAAUCACUGUAAACAAAGUGCUUGGGGAAUUUGUAGGAACUCUGAAAGAAACCCAACCAGUGGAACCUAAUGCUCAACUUCUUCUUCUCCAUCAAGGCAUUGACUUUUUAAUUAUUUAGUUAAUUGAGUUAAUUAUAUCAUUUAUUAAUUAUAAGUUUAACUCUAUUAAAAUAAAUAAAUUAAAAUAAUAUACAUAAGUAAUUGAUAAUCUUAAUCCAAAAAUAAGAAAAGAAAAGAAAAAAUCUGGGUUGAACUCUGCCAAAAUGGUGUUUAUCGCCUUUCGAUUUGGGCAAUCCCUCACCUAGUGUGGACCAUCGCAAAUGAAGCAAGGCUUGGGCGGUUUGGAGGCAGAAAGUUUUUCUUUGUGCGACGAGCCUUUGUUGUGCUUUGAGUUGCCGCCAGAGGACUUUUGGUAGCCACUCUCCUUGCCUUUGUUGAAGUCUCUCUUUUGGCCUCCCCCACUUUUGGAAGAGCUAGGUUUCGUCAAGGGUCUGCACUCCGCGUCGCUCGAGCUCCAUCUUUACCCAAUCCUUCAACCCGUCCUUCAAAUCAAAGAGGAGUUUAUCGUCGGUCAAAUCUGGAAUCUCUAGCAUAAGAGUCGUGAAUUCCUUGACGUACUCAGCAAUGCUCCCGGUUUGCCUUAGCCUACGCAGCCUGCUUCGUACCUCAUCGUUGGCAUUGUGAGGCACAAAUUGCUUACGGAGUUCGGUCUUGAACUGUUUGUCUUUAAUUUUAUUAUUUAAUAUAUUAUUCUUCCAUCAAAA